rnacentral:rRNA from 1 species
AUGCUUAACACAUGCAAGUCGAACGCGAAAGUCCUUCGGGAUGAGUAGAGUGGCGGACGGGUGAGUAACGCGUAGGAAUCUAUCCUGUAGUGGGGGAUAACGUUUCGAAAGGAACGCUAAUACCGCAUACGCCCUACGGGGGAAAGCGGGGGAUCUUCGGACCUCGUGCUAUAGGAGGAGCCUGCGUCGGAUUAGCUAGUUGGUGAGGUAAAGGCUCACCAAGGCGACGAUCCGUAGCUGGUCUGAGAGGAUGAUCAGCCACACCGGAACUGAGACACGGUCCGGACUCCUACGGGAGGCAGCAGUGGGGAAUAUUGCGCAAUGGGCGAAAGCCUGACGCAGCCAUACCGCGUGUGUGAAGAAGGCCUUCGGGUUGUAAAGCACUUUCAGUGGGGAGGAAAAGCUGGCGGCUAAUAUCCGCUGGCCCUGACGCUACCCACAGAAGAAGCACCGGCUAAUUCCGUGCCAGCAGCCGCGGUAAUACGGAAGGUGCGAGCGUUAAUCGGAAUUACUGGGCGUAAAGCGCACGUAGGUGGCUUGGUAAGUCGGAUGUGAAAGCCCCGGGCUCAACCUGGGAACUGCAUUCGAUACUGCUGAGCUAGAGUACGAAAGAGGGGGGUGGAAUUCCAGGUGUAGCGGUGAAAUGCGUAGAGAUCUGAAGGAACACCAGUGG